rnacentral:lncRNA from 1 species
UUCAGGCAUUUUAAUGUGUAUCUCAGUAAAGCUACACGUGUUUCCAUGUAGGUUAUUCAUACAUAUUAUGGCACUUGAACUCUCCUAACAGGUAUUUAGUUACCUAGGAUAUCUAGGCUAAAAAAGAAAAGUCUGCUAAAAUUAACCAUUUCUGUAAGAAAACCAUUAAUUUUCCUGAAAGUUGCAUCAAAAUACAAUAGUUCAUUUUUCACAUUAUUUGAGUAAGUUGCCUUUGACAAUGAUGUCACGUUAACUUAGAUCUCUAGUGAUUUGUGAAUACAAAGGCAGGCAAUCUUACCCACUUUCAACAAACCAAGUUGUGUGCUGCUCCUUAGUAACUAUAAUAUGGAGUAUUGAUACUUGUGUAUCCAUUCUUUUGUUGGAAUAAAGUCUCUGAAGUAAUUCCACAUACUAAGAAAGAAGUCCAAAUUUAAUUGAAGGUGGCUUACAAUGGUAGCUUUUUCUCCAUGUAAGGCAUUAUUCUGACAUCUACUGGCCUGGUAUCCAACCAUACAUUUUAAUACACUGCAUUUGUUAUUAAAAAAGAGCACAUAUAUUAAUCCAAAGAUAAGAACAAUUAAAGAAACACAAACAACAUACAUUUAAAACAGGCCCAUGUAUUUUCAUAUAAAUCUCACAACUCUGCCAGUAUUUUGGUAGGUUUCUAUUGCUUUCUUAACUCAUCUGAACCACCGUAUGAGGCUUUAACGCAAGGAGCUUUGGGGAAGAAAGUUACAUUUGGAAGGGAAAAGAAAGUUGUGACAAGUAAAAAAAAAAAAAUCCAAGCAGCUCUUGAAAAAAACAAAAAAAAACUUCACUUGCAAAAUGAAGCAGCUAUUUUGUGAUUCAUAUUUGUAUUUAAAAAGACUAAUUAGACCAAAAUAAAAACCUAAAAAUGGCAAUUCUAUAAAUAAUGAAAAUUUUGAUUUUACUAGACUUUAAUGAAAAACAUUUGGUAAUUAAAUACUUGCUACUGUUCAUUUUGUUGAUGAACUUUAUUAGGGUUAAAACUGUAACAAAGUUCAUCCUAAAACAUUUUGCAAUGCAAAAUUAUUUUCACUCGAGGAGUGUCUCAAAUUGAAUGCUAAGAAUUACAAGCAAUCUUCAGAAGCAGACACUCACGUUCAUAAAACUUUAUACAUCUUUUGGAACUAAGAUAUUUAUACUACUAAAAUCAAACAUGCAUCACUUCCCAUACAUUCUGGUAUCAUGAUUUAUAUUACAUUAUGUAACACCAUUCUUCUAAACAGCAGCAGUUUUAUCAUACGCUUGCUCCAUUUUCUUUGGAUUUCUGAUCUUUAUCUUCGCUCUUCACAAUAUCCUUUAAAAGAA